rnacentral:rRNA from 1 species
GCAAGUCGAACGAGGCCCUUCGGGGCCUAGUGGCGCACGGGUGCGUAACGCGUGGGAAUCUGCCUUUCGGUACGGAAUAACUCAGGGAAACUUGUGCUAAUACCGUAUGACGUCGCGAGACCAAAGAUUUAUCGCCGAAAGAUGAGCCCGCGUAGGAUUAGCUAGUUGGUGGGGUAAAGGCCUACCAAGGCGACGAUCCUUAGCUGGUCUGAGAGGAUGAUCAGCCACACUGGGACUGAGACACGGCCCAGACUCCUACGGGAGGCAGCAGUGGGGAAUAUUGGACAAUGGGCGAAAGCCUGAUCCAGCAAUGCCGCGUGAGUGAUGAAGGCCUUAGGGUUGUAAAGCUCUUUUACCCGGGAUGAUAAUGACAGUACCGGGAGAAUAAGCCCCGGCUAACUCCGUGCCAGCAGCCGCGGUAAUACGGAGGGGGCUAGCGUUGUUCGGAAUUACUGGGCGUAAAGCGUACGUAGGCGGUGACUCAAGUCAGAGGUGAAAGCCCGGGGCUCAACUCCGGAAUUGCCUUUGAAACUAGGUCGCUUGAACGUCGGAGAGGUGAGUGGAAUUCCGAGUGUAGAGGUGAAAUUCGUAGAUAUUCGGAAGAACACCAGUGGCGAAGGCGGCUCACUGGACGACUGUUGACGCUGAGGUACG